CGGCGAGCGGCGGACGGGUGAGGAAUGCAUCGGGAAAUCUGCCUCGUUGUGGGGGGAUAACGUAGGGAAACUUACGCUAAUACCCGCAUACGACCGUCGGGUGAAAGUGGGGGACCUUCGGGCCUCACGCGAUGAGAUGAGCCGAUGCCGGAUUAGCUAGUUGGCGGGGUAAAGGCCCACCAAGGCGACGAUCCGUAAGCUGGUCUGAGAGGAUGAUCAGCCACACUGGAACUGAGACACGGUCCAGACUCCUUACGGGAGGCAGCAGUGGGGAAUAUUGGACAAUGGGGGCAACCCUGAUCCAGCCAUGCCGCGUGUGUGAAGAAGGCCUUCGGGUUGUAAAGCACUUUUGUUGGGGAAGAAACCGGCCGGGUUAAUACCCUGGUUGAAUGACGGUACCCAAAGAAUAAGCACCGGCUAACUUCGUG
rnacentral:rRNA from 1 species